UCGCCUGUUUAUCAAAAACAUGGUCUUUUGUUUAAAUAAAAGAUCUGGCCUGCCCAAUGAUUUUUUAAUGGCUGCAGUAUAUUGACUGUACAAAGGUAGCAUAAUCAUUUGUCUUUUAAUUGAGGUCUGGAAUGAAUGGUUGGAUGAGAAACUAACUUUCUUUAUUUUAUAUUGGGAAUUUAAUUUCUAAAUUAAAAAGUUUAGAUUUUAUUAGAGGACGAGAAGACCCUAUAGAACUUUAUUUAUCCUAAAAUAUUAUUUACUUGUAAAUAAUUUACUAUUAUUUUAGGAUAAAUUUUGUUGGGGUGACAAAAAAAAAUUAAUAACUUUUUUUAUAUAUAUCAUAUAUAUAUGAUUUUUUGAUCCUUUAGUAUGGAUUAAAAGAUUAAGUUACCUUAGGGAUAACAGCGUUAUUGUUUUAGAGAGUUCAUAUUGAUAAAAUAGUUUGCGACCUCGAUGUUGGAUUAAAAUUAGUUUCAGGAGUAGAAGAUUGAUUUACUAGGUCUGUUCGACCUUUAAAUUUUUACAUGAUCUGAGUUCAAACCGGAGA
rnacentral:rRNA from 1 species